rnacentral:rRNA from 1 species
GUCCACGCCGUAAACGAUGGAUGCUAGCCGUCGGCAAGCUUGCUUGUCGGUGGCGCAGCUAACGCAUUAAGCAUCCCGCCUGGGGAGUACGGCCGCAAGGUUAAAACUCAAAGGAAUUGACGGGGGCCCGCACAAGCGGUGGAGCAUGUGGUUUAAUUCGACGCAACGCGAAGAACCUUACCAGCUCUUGACAUGUACGGGGCGGGCAUCAGAGAUGAUGUCCUCCUAGCAAUAGGUCCGUACACAGGUGCUGCAUGGCUGUCGU